UCGCCCCUACCAAUCAUAAAAAGUUAGAAAUUAAAUAAAUCGGUAAAGUGAAACUUUCCCUUAUGGAUUGAGUGAGCUUAAAGGGCAAACAUCGUGAUAAAUUGAUUAUCUUAUAAUAAUGACUAAUUCUAGGAAGAAAAUUUUUUUAAAAUAUAUAAGUGUAAGAAAGUUUUUUCUAAAACAAAUUAAAAACACAGAGUUUUAAAAAAUAUAUUGAUUCAAUUACAGGUUUUGGAAAAAAAUGACUGAACUUAUUAAAUAUUUGAAAACAAUGAUUCUAUUUAUUUUCUUAUUUCUUGCUGUAACUGACGUUUUUGAAUCUACGACGCCAAGAUGCAAGAAAGAUUUCGAUUGUCCACCUGCUCUUUGUCGACGUCCUGACGUUGCAAAAUGCCUUUUCUAUACAUGUUUCUGCCAGAAUGAAUACAUAUUUAUAAUUUAAUAUGUUAUUGUCGUCAAUAUGUCAGUUCAUUAGAAAAAUAGUGUUUUUUACUAUACAUGUUACUACCUUUAAACUCUUUAAUAAUUAUGUUUUUUAUUCUUUCUGUCAACGUCUGUUAACACAGAAGUUGAUAUGGCAUACUAGAUGAAAUUUUAUUGAUGAUUGGAAAUACACAUGAAAUCACACAAAAUGAUAAUUAUGCUGACGUAGAUUCAGUGGGUUGUGAGGGACGAGGGUUACAAAUCACCUUAAAAUAACGAUCAUGAUUAUUACACUUUUUAUACUAGUUUGAAAACACUUUAAUGUCACUGUUUUUGCAGGCGUUGCCGGAGCUUACUUUUGCAAAUCAGGUCGGGCUUGACAUGCUGGAGUAGUACCGUGGCCAAAAGGUGGUUUAUGCCUGACUUUGUUAUUAGAAAAUAAGGAUUCCAAGUGUUAAAAAAGAAGCACUUUUGAUAUAUGACAUGUUUUGUUACUUGAUAAAGAAUGUACUAAUUUUUUCUCCCUA